GAUGAACGCUGGCGGCGUGCCUAAUACAUGCAAGUCGAGCGAACAGAUGAGGAGCUUGCUCCUCUGACGUUAGCGGCGGACGGGUGAGUAACACGUGGAUAACCUACCUAUAAGACUGGGAUAACUUCGGGAAACCGGAGCUAAUACCGGAUAAUAUAUUGAACCGCAUGGUUCAAUAGUGAAAGACGGUUUUGCUGUCACUUAUAGAUGGUUCCGCGCCGCAUUAGCUAGUUGGUAAGGUAACGGCUUACCAAGGCAACGAUGCGUAGCCGACCUGAGAGGGUGAUCGGCCACACUGGAACUGAGACACGGUCCAGACUCCUACGGGAGGCAGCAGUAGGGAAUCUUCCGCAAUGGGCGAAAGCUUGACGGAGCGACGCCGCGUGAGUGAUGAAGGUCUUCGGAGCGUAAAACUCUGUUAUUAGGGAAGAACAAAUGUGUAAGUAACUAUGCACGUCUUGACGGUACCUAAUCAGAAAGCCACGGCUAACUACGUG
rnacentral:rRNA from 1 species